GACGUAGGAUGCAAGCGUUGUCCGGAUUUAUUGGGCGUAAAGAGCUCGUAGGCGGUUUGUCGCGUCUGCUGUGAAAACUCGGGGCUUAACCCCGGGCCUGCAGUGGGUGACGGGCAGACUAGAGUGCGGUAGGGGAGACUGGAAUCCUGGUGUAGCGGUGAAAUGCGCAGAUAUCAGGAGGAACACCGGUGGCGAAGGCGGGUCUCUGGGCCGUAACUGACGCUGAGGAGCGAAAGCGUGGGGAGCGAACAGG
rnacentral:rRNA from 1 species